rnacentral:lncRNA from 1 species
AUGAAUAAACUAUCUGAGGAAAUUGUCAGACUUGGCUUCUCCUUCUUUACUCUAUUCCUUAAUUUCUUGUUAUCAGUGGUAUCAGAGCCAGGUUGGCUCCGAUGGGAACUCAUCAGCAAACUGAUGCUGAGUUUCACAAUGAGAUACAAGAAGCGCUUGGUUGGCAUGAAUCCAUGUUUGAUCAAAUUCAUUCAACUAUGCAAACCUUGCUUUUCAAAAUGCAUACCCUUGAAAUAUCCCAACAGAAUUCUAGCCACACUCAUGGAGAAGUCAGACUUGGCUUCUCCUUCUUUACUCUAUUCCUUAAUUUCUUGUUAUCAGUGGUAUCAGAGCCAGGUUAGCUCCGAUGGGAACUCAUCAGCAAACUGAUGCUGAGUUUCACAAUGAGAUACAAGAAGCGCUUGGUUGGCAUGAAUCCAUGUUUGAUCAAAUUCAUUCAACUAUGCAAACCUUGCUUUUCAAAAUGCAUACCCUUGAAAUAUCCCAACAGAAUUCUAGCCACACUCUUGGAGAAAAUGAAAACCCCUUUUAGCAGAAGUCUCCAGAAAAUACCUCUCACCAAGGAAACACAUCUCAUGCUUACAACCAGCAGAAACUC